CCUACGGGAGGCAGCAGUGAGGAAUAUUGGUCAAUGGGCGGAAGCCUGAACCAGCCAAGUAGCGUGCAGGAUGACGGCCCUACGGGUUGUAAACUGCUUUUAUACGGGAAUAACGCGCCUUCCGUGUAGGGCUUUGCAUGGACCGUAUGAAUAAGGACCGGCUAAUUCCGUGCCAGCAGCCGAGGUAAGACGGAGGGUCCGGGCGUUAUCCGGAUUUAUUUGGUUUAAAGGGAGCGUAGGCCGCAUAUCAAGCGUGCUGUGAAAUGUCCGGGCUCAACCCGGGCCUUGCAGCGAGAACUGGCGGGCUUGAGUACGCGGAAAGCAGGCGGAAUUCGUCGUGUAGCGGUGAAAUGCUUAGAUAUGACGAAGAACCCCGAUUGCGAAGGCAGCUUGCUGCAGCGGAACUGACGCUGAUGCUCGAAAGCGCGGGUAUCGAACAGGAUUAGAUACCCUAGUAGUC
rnacentral:rRNA from 1 species